CGNGGAAUCUGCUCAUGUAAAUUAAUAGCCGCAAACCGUGCUAAGGUAGCAUAAUCAUUUGUCUUUUAAUUAAAGACUAGAACAAAAGAUUUAACAUUUUAAUAAAUAUUAUAGUUUAUAAAUUUAAAUUAUUUUUAAUGUAAAAAAACAUUAAUUUAUAAAAAAGACGAUAAGACCCUAUUGAACUUUACUUUAGUUAAACUGGGGCAGUUAAUUAAUUAUUAUUUUAAUCACAUAAUAAUUAUAAAUGUUCUAAUAUAAUUAAUUUAAUGACUAAGUUACCAUAGGGAUAACAGUGUAAUAUUAUUUUAAAGAUCUUAUUUAAAAUAAUGAUUGCAACCUCGAUGUUGACUUAAUAACCUUAAUUACGCAGUAGUAAUUGUAGGAAGUCUGUUCGACCUUUAAAUAAUUACAUGAUCUGAGCAAAACCCGGAGA
rnacentral:rRNA from 1 species